rnacentral:rRNA from 1 species
CCUCACCUCUUCUAUUCCCCCAAGUCGCGCCCCCAAAUCAGGCAGCCUUCCACCCCCGAUCCCAUCGGCCGCCGACCACCCUUCACCGCUCCCGACCUCAACGGCAGUCGAUAACCCUCCGCCAUCCCCGACCCUAGCCUCACCCUCCACCGUCCCCAAACCCCUACCGCACCCGGCUUCCUUCCCGACCACCGUGGCCGGCUAGGGUUUGAUGCCGUCGGUCCUCCUGGUCGUUCUCCGGUUGGUGGCUAGAGGAAACGGCUUCCACCCUCCUUCUAAAGCAUGUGAGCACGGAUCUGGCUCCUCCCACCGUUCAUUCCUCUCUCCUGCUUGGAGCCGCCUGUGACCACGGAUCUGGCUCUCCUCCACCAGCGGCGACUGGGAUGGCGCGGAUCCACCUCUUCUCCACAAGCCCCAGCCGAGACGACGUGGAUUCGCAUCUCCUCCUCCCUCCCCGCUAUGGCCGCCUUUAUCCGUUGCACCCCCGCCUUGCAGCUCCGCUUCUGGACGGAGAUUUGGAGGAGUACCCGCCACUCACAGUGGCUUCAAGCCUUCUUCCCAACUGGCCCCAGAGGCACAACAUUAAGGGUGCAAGCUCGACUGAUUCAACGGUCUGCCUUGGCGUGAUGGCUCCCCGUCAACAACUAGGUUGACCAUGGCCUAUGCUAGCUUCAGUUUUCCCCCCUGUUCCAGUCUGCUGGAAGUUCUCUGCUGCCUCCCCAAGACGCUGGUAGGUCACCUCCAUCGAUGCUCUCUCCGCCGCUUCCACAAGCCGCCAGACUGUACAAUUCUGCAAGGAAAAAGAAUGGAAAAGGAAGAGAAGAAGACAAUGCUGAAGCACAAGAGCAAGAGAGGCUAGCUAUACUUAAAGCAAGGAACAGUGAGGAUUUUGAAUGAUUUGGGUCCUUCACAUUUUCAAAUCUAAAAGAAGAUUUUGGAGGCCGAGCCAGUCAGCGACAAAAUAAAAGGAAGAAGGUUUCUCAAAGAUUGACAAGUUGAUGGAGGUUUGGAAGAACUACAGGCUGACGAAGAUUAUGAACGCCUACAGUUAAGUCGGUGUAGUGAUAAUGUAAUAUGCCUUGUUUGUUGAACCCGGAUACUUGCUCUGCUCAAUUUGUUGGUUGUUAAGUCAAUGUAUGCUCAUGUUGGUUGUGUGGUGCAUUAAGAAAUAAAUGUGUUUCUCCUUUUUUGGCACAACUUCAGCUUGGUUGUGUGGUACACCUAAAAACAAAUGUAUGCACUUCUUUUGUGGCACAACGUCUUUGUAUAUGAUUGCUAUGAUUAUUGAAUGAAGUUCAAGAUUUUUGAUGAGGC